rnacentral:rRNA from 1 species
CAGCCGCCGCGGGAAUACGAAGGGGGCUAGCGUUGUUCGGAUUUACUGGGCGUAAAGCGCACGUAGGCGGAUCGAUCAGUCAGGGGUGAAAUCCCAGAGCUCAACUCUGGAACUGCCUUUGAUACUGUCGAUCUGGAGUAUGGAAGAGGUGAGUGGAAUUCCGAGUGUAGAGGUGAAAUUCGUAGAUAUUCGGAGGAACACCAGUGGCGAAGGCGGCUCACUGGUCCAUUACUGACGCUCAUGCACGAAAGCGUGGGGAGCAAACAGGAUUAGAUACCCCCGUAGUCCCUGUCUCUUAUAC